UGGUUCUGGCAUNGAUGAAGAACGCAGCGAAAUGCGAUAAGUAAUGCGAAUUGCAGAAUCCGUGAGUCAUCGAAUCUUUGAACGCAUAUUGCGCCCUUUGGUAUUCCGAAGGGCAUGCCUGUUCGAGCGUCAUUAUCACCUCUCAAGCUCGGCUUGCUGUUGGACUCUAGGUCUUGCUUUAGCCAUGACCGGUCCCAAAGAUAAUGACGGCGUCUGUGAGGACCCCAGUACAUUGAGCUUUUACAGCACGUAUUAGGUGGAAGUCCAGGCCCGGUCUUAAUUUUUUCUCUUUUAAGGUUGACCUCGGAUCAGGUAGGAAUACCCGCUGA
rnacentral:misc_RNA from 1 species